rnacentral:rRNA from 1 species
UGGCGGCGUGCCUAAUACAUGCAAGUCGAGCGGACCUCUUCGGAGGUCAGCGGCGGACGGGUGAGUAACACGUGGGCAACCUGCCUGUAAGACUGGGAUAACUCCGGGAAACCGGAGCUAAUACCGGAUACUAUGUCAAACCGCAUGGUUUGACAUUCAAAGACGGUUUCGGCUGUCACUUACAGAUGGGCCCGCGGCGCAUUAGCUAGUUGGUGAGGUAAUGGCUCACCAAGGCGACGAUGCGUAGCCGACCUGAGAGGGUGAUCGGCCACACUGGGACUGAGACACGGCCCAGACUCCUACGGGAGGCAGCAGUAGGGAAUCUUCCGCAAUGGACGAAAGUCUGACGGAGCAACGCCGCGUGAGUGAUGAAGGUUUUCGGAUCGUAAAACUCUGUUGUCAGGGAAGAACAAGUGCCGGAGUAACUGCCGGCACCUUGACGGUACCUGACCAGAAAGCCACGGCUAACUACGUGCCAGCAGCCGCGGU